AAAUUGAAGAGUUUGAUCAUGGCUCAGAUUGAACGCUGGCGGCAGGCCUAACACAUGCAAGUCGAACGGUAGCACAGAGAGCUUGCUCUCGGGUGACGAGUGGCGGACGGGUGAGUAAUGUCUGGGAAACUGCCCGAUGGAGGGGGAUAACUACUGGAAACGGUAGCUAAUACCGCAUAACGUCGCAAGACCAAAGUGGGGGACCUUCGGGCCUCACACCAUCGGAUGUGCCCAGAUGGGAUUAGCUAGUAGGUGGGGUAACGGCUCACCUAGGCGACGAUCCCUAGCUGGUCUGAGAGGAUGACCAGCCACACUGGAACUGAGACACGGUCCAGACUCCUACGGGAGGCAGCAGUGGGGAAUAUUGCACAAUGGGCGCAAGCCUGAUGCAGCCAUGCCGCGUGUAUGAAGAAGGCCUUCGGGUUGUAAAGUACUUUCAGCGAGGAGGAAGGCGUUGUGGUUAAUAACCACAGCGAUUGACGUUACUCGCAGAAGAAGCACCGGCUAACUCCGUGCCAGCAGCCGCGGUAAUACGGAGGGUGCAAGCGUUAAUCGGAAUUACUGGGCGUAAAGCGCACGCAGGCGGUCUGUCAAGUCGGAUGUGAAAUCCCCGGGCUCAACCUGGGAACUGCAUUUGAAACUGGCAAG
rnacentral:rRNA from 1 species